UUUUAGCGACGGAAAUUUUGCCGCUAAUCCGUUGAUAACUAGAAUCCAAUUAAAAUCCGCAAAUCCCUAUCUUGUUUUCCCCCUCAUAAUCCUUAACCAAACCCCUUUCUCUCUCCCUCACCCUUGCCGCUCUCCUCUCGUCGUCGUCAUAGCCGUCGCGCUGUCAUCCCGUUGCCAGAAGACCGAUGUCGCCUUCGCACCGCCAUUCCACCGUCGCUCCUGCAGUUACUUGAAGUUAUAAGACUUGAAGGCCAUUCUCUUGCACAAGAAGAUGCCUUUUUAUCAAGGGGAAAUUCAUCUAUUGCAGAUAUGCGGUGGAAUUGAUGAGAGUGCUGUGGUAGCCUGUUUAGAACUUGUCUUUGCUCCAAUUGAUGAGAUGUUUCCAGAUGAUGCUCCACUGCUAACUUCUGGAUUCCGGGUUAUCCUAUGGGAUUAAAAACUAGUUAGGUUCUAACAAGAGUUGAAACCAUAUGUCGAACUUGCUGAGAAACUUGGGAGGCUGGCUGUCCAAUUGGUAGCAGGUGGAAGUGGUUUUAAAACAGUGAAAGUAUCAUACGUUUCCUCUAGAUCUCCUAAUGAGCUUGACACAAGGUUGCUCCGUUCGAUGAUCACCAAGGAUUUGGAACAUAUAUGUAUUUUUGCAUUUUCAUGUAAUUAGAAUUUAUAAAAUAUUAUUAUAUUUUUUAUAAAUGA